ACGCUCGACACCUACGGAGGCAGCAGUGGGGGAUAUUGCACAAUGGGGGAAACCCUGAUGCAGCAACGCCGCGUGAAGGAAGAAGGUCUUCGGAUUGUAAACUUCUGUCCUCAGGGAAGAUAAUGACGGUACCUGAGGAGGAAGCUCCGGCUAACUACGUGCUAGCAGCCGCGGUAAUCUGAGCGGGCUGGCAAGGC
rnacentral:rRNA from 1 species